CCUACGGGGGGCAGCAGUGAGGAAUAUUGGUCAAUGGACGAGAGUCUGAACCAGCCAAGUAGCGUGAAGGAUGACUGCCCUAUGGGUUGUAAACUUCUUUUAUAUGGGAAUAAAAUGUUCCACGUGUGGGAUUUUGUAUGUACCAUAUGAAUAAGGAUCGGCUAACUCCGUGCCAGCAGCCGCGGUAAUACGGAGGAUCCGAGCGUUAUCCGGAUUUAUUGGGUUUAACGGGAGCGUAGGUGGAUUGUUAAGUCAGUUGUGAAAGUUUGCGGCUCAACCGUAAAAUUGCAGUUGAAACUGGCAGUCUUGAGUACAGUAGAGGUGGGCGGAAUUCGUGGUGUAGCGGUGAAAUGCUUAGAUAUCACGAAGAACUCCGAUUGCGAAGGCAGUUCACUGGACUGCAACUGACACUGAGGCUCGAAAGUGUGGGUAUCAAACAGGAUUAGAUACCCUAGUAGUC
rnacentral:rRNA from 1 species